AAAUGCAAGCUGAAUUUAGAUGACCUUUAGAAGUUCCUAGGAAAAUAAAUGGGGACUGGAAGUAGCUGAGGAGCAUCGUAAUUAUCAUCCAAGGUUUGAGAUUCCUAUGGAACAUGCAGUGGAAAGCGACCUGUGAACAGCUGAUGAAGUAAAACUGGAGCUCAGGAGAUGGAACAGAUCUGGAAUGCUUAUGCACAAAGAUAAUAACUGAACCCAUUAGAGAGGAUGAGAUCACUAAAAGGCUCCACAGAGUUACUCCAGGAAGGGGAAAAAAAUGGAAUUUCAAAACAGAAGCUACUCCUGCAAAGAAUAGCAGGGAGGAGCAAGACAAAGCAAACAGGCAUGUUUGAGGUUUAACUAGCACUAUGAUUUAGCAUGUUAUAACUUAAAUUCAGAAUCCAAAGAUUACUUUACUUAGCUUAUAUAUAUGUACAAGAAAUGAGGGGCAGAUUGGGUGAUCAUGUUGGAGAAGAAAUUAGGUUAAUAAUCUUUGAUAGUAAAUGAUAUUACCAGUAAAUUCCUGACUUCAACAAAUUCCCCAAAAGCCCAAUUCCUGCUGCUGCCCAACUUUAUGACUUGUUUUCUUAAGAGCUGUAUGGAAGUGGACAGUCAUUCCUUUGAUGCUCAUGGAAAACUGUAUUUUUCAGGUCUUAAGGUACAAAAAACCUUUAAACCAUGGGUAUCCUGGAGCCUACUAAAACCAGUUCUCACUGUUAAUGUUUUCAACAUGAGCAUUUAUACUUCAGAAAUUGACAAAUUUUAAAAAG